rnacentral:lncRNA from 1 species
GGGAGAAGGAGGGAGGAGGUACCAGCCAUGCAGGGCAGAGGGUGUCUCUGGAGUGGAGUGGACGCUCCCCUCCGCUGUGGCCCUUUCCUGAGGACUGGCCUUGACCCCUGGCAGAGGAGAGAGUCUGCAUCUGCCCAGCGUCCGAUCCGAGCCAUGACUCUCAGGGGUUGAGAGGCGGGCAAGGGGCCCCCUGCAGGGUCGGAGUGAAGAAUGCCGUUGUGUAAAAAUGGAGAACCUCACCACAGCCCAGGGCCUGUCCCCGCCUGAGUCAUGCUUGAGAGAGAGGGAGGAGAAAGCAAGAGCCCCGAAGCCCCUCGGAUUUCCAGCUGGCCGAGGCCGGCCUUGUGACAUCGCUGAAGGCAUCACCUGAUGAGCUCAGGCAGAGGCGUCUGGGGCCAGGGACACAGUCAUUGGAUUCAGAAUCCACCUUAAAGCCAGCAUGAUCUCAUGUCAAGAUCCUCAACUGAAAAUACAUCUGCAAAGCCCCUGUGACGGUGAAUCCUAUGUGUCCACUUGACUGGCCACGGGGUUCUAGGUUAGACAUCACUUCUGGUGCAUCUGUGGGAGUGUUUCUGGAUGAGAUUAGCAUUUGAAUCCUGGACUCAGUAACGCAGACUGCCCUCCCCAUUGUGGGUGGGCCUCACCCAAUCCGGUGAGGGCCUCAACAGAAUAAAUGGUGGAGGAAGGAAGAAGUCACCUCCCUUCUCCUGCCUUACUGCUGGAGCCGGGACAUCUCGUCUUCUCCAGUUCUUGGGUGGGGUUCAUACCAUCGGCUCCCUGAGUCUCAGGCCUUUGGGUUUGGACUGAACCCCACCCCCCCACUCUCCUGGGUCUCCAGCUUGCAGACGGCAGAUGGUGGACUUCUCAGCCUCUCUGAUCUCAUGGGGCAAUUCCUCAUAAUAAAUCCUACUGGUUUUGUUUCUUUGCAGAACCCUAAUGAUCAUACACCCUAUUUCCAAAUAAGGUCACAGGUGCCGGAGGUUGGGACGUGGACCUAUCUUUUGGGGGACGCUGUGCAAUGCACCCCAGGCAUGUUACCUGGGUCUUCAGCGGAGGCCGGACCGCAGCGGGCUCAGAGUGUGGGUUCUGCAACUGGG